AGCAUAUCAAUAAGCGGAGGAAAAGAAACCAACAGGGAUUGCCCCAGUAACGGCGAGUGAAGCGGCAACAGCUCAAAUUUGAAAUCUGGCCCCUCGGGCCCGAGUUGUAAUUUGUAGAGGAUGCUUUUGGUGCGGUGCCGCCCGAGUUCCCUGGAACGGGACGCCAUAGAGGGUGAGAGCCCCGUCUGGCUGGCCACCAAGCCUCUGUAAAGCUCCUUCGACGAGUCGAGUAGUUUGGGAAUGCUGCUCUAAAUGGGAGGUAUAUGUCUUCUAAAGCUAAAUAUUGGCCAGAGACCGAUAGCGCACAAGUAGAGUGAUCGAAAGAUGAAAAGCACUUUGAAAAGAGGGUUAAAUAGUACGUGAAAUUGUUGAAAGGGAAGCGCUCAUGACCAGACUUGGGCUUGGCGAAUCAUCCGGCGUUCUCGCCGGUGCACUUCGCCUCGUCCAGGCCAGCAUCAGUUCGCCGCGGGGGACAAAGGCUUCGGGAACGUGGCUCCUCCGGGAGUGUUAUAGCCCGUUGCGUAAUACCCUGCGGUGGACUGAGGACCGCGCUUCGGCAAGGAUGCUGGCGUAAUGGUCAUCAGCGACCCGUCUUGAAACACGGACCAAGGAGUCGUCUUCGUAUGCGAGUGUUCGGGUGUCAAACCCCUACGCGUAAUGAAAGUGAACGCAGGUGAGAGCUUCGGCGCAUCAUCGACCGAUCCUGAUGUUCUCGGAUGGAUUUGAGUAAGAGCAUACGGGGCCGGACCCGAAAGAAGGUGAACUAUGCCUGUAUAGGGUGAAGCCAGAGGAAACUCUGGUGGAGGCUCGCAGCGGUUCUGACGUGCAAAUCGAUCGUCAAAUAUGGGCAUGGGGGCGAAAGACUAAUCGAACCUUCUAGUAGCUGG
rnacentral:rRNA from 1 species